CACAUGCAAGUCGAGCGGAGACAGUGAGUAGCUUGCUAUGAGCUGUUUUAGCGGCGGACGGGUGAGUAACGCGUGAGCAACCUUUCCCAGACAGGGGAAUAACACACCGAAAGGUGUACUAAUACCGCAUAAGACCACGGGAUCACAUGGUUCUGGGGUAAAAGAUUUAUCGGUUUGGGGUGGGCUCGCGUCCGAUUAGGUAGUUGGUGAGGUAACGGCCCACCAAGCCGACGAUCGGUAGCCGACCUGAGAGGGUGAUCGGCCACAUUGGGACUGAGACACGGCCCAAACUCCUACGGGAGGCAGCAGUGGGGAAUAUUGGGCAAUGGGGGGAACCCUGACCCAGCAACGCCGCGUGGAGGAAGAAGGUUUUCGGAUCGUAAACUCCUGUCCUUGGAGACGAGUAGAAGACGGUAUCCAAGGAGGAAGCCCCGGCUAACUACGUGCCAGCAGCCGCGGUAAUACGUAGGGGGCAAGCGUUGUCCGGAAUAAUUGGGCGUAAAGGGCGCGUAGGCGGCUCGGUAAGUCUGGAGUGAAAGUCCUGCUUUUAAGGUGGGAAUUGCUUUGGAUACUGUCGGGCUUGAGUGCAGGAGAGGUUAGUGGAAUUCCCAGUGUAGCGGUGAAAUGCGUAGAGAUUGGGAGGAACACCAGUGGCGAAGGCGACUAACUGGACUGUAACUGACGCUGAGGCGCGAAAG
rnacentral:rRNA from 1 species